GGGCCCGUAACUCAGUUGGCAGAGUACCUGGCUUUUAACCAGAGAGUCGCAGGUUCGAGUCCUGCCGGGCCCA
rnacentral:tRNA from 1 species